UACGUAGGGGGCAAGCGUUGUCCGGAUUUAUUGGGCGUAAAGAGCGUGUAGGCGGCUUGGUAGGUCCGUUGUGAAAACUCGAGGCUCAACCUCGAGACGCCGAUGGAAACCAUGUGGCUAGAGUCCGGAAGAGGAGAGUGGAAUUCCUGGUGUAGCGGUGAAAUGCGCAGAUAUCAGGAAGAACACCCGUGGCUAAGGCGGCUCUCUAGUACGGUACUGACGCUGAGACGCGAAAGCGUGGGGAGCAAACAGG
rnacentral:rRNA from 1 species